AAUUAUUAUUAUUAUUAUUAAUAUUUAUUAAUUAUUAUUAUUAAUUAUUGUUAUUAAUUAUUAAUUAAAUAACCUUUUUGUAUUCACAGUUUAUGAGUUGACUGCUGGGAAAUGAAAAAAACAACAACAAUAAAAACAACAAAAUGAAGCUCCCUCUCCGAAAUAAGGGUCUGAAGACUUUCCAGAAAUUAUGUUGAUUAUUGUAAUUAUUUUCACCUUUCAUCCCUUGGGAGUUGAUAAAUUAAAGGACCAGUCAAGUACUGAGAUGAAGGCACACGGCCUGGUGGUGAGGGUGCAGUGCACUGUGUUCUUGAGCAAAACACUUCACUUUACUUUGCUCCAGUCCUCUCAGCUGUAAAUGAGUGAAUCUACGAUGGACUGGCAUCCCAUCCAGGGGGAAUGUAAUGACCACAGUCACUUACACAAUUGGCUAACUGGCCCCUCACAAUCCUAGACAGUAAAAUGCCCACAUCUAAGUAAUGGGAGUGUCAAUACCACGUACUUGCCCCACCCUUCAAAAUUGCUGGCCUUGGGCCUCAAUCAGAAAGCAAAGCAUUAUUAUUAUUAUUAUUAUUAUUAUUAUUAUUAUUAUUGGAGGAAAAGUAGUAGUGGUGAUGUUGGUUACUAAUUACAGACUAAAAGUACAGCAAACAAAAGACAGAUAUUCUAAACAGUUUUUGUUUUUCUGUUUUUCUAAACCUCUGCAGACAAAAUAUGAUGGAAACACAAGAGAAAACCUGUCUUUAUAUUAACCAUUAUCUGUAAUUUUGCCUCAUAUAUACAUAUACAUAUAUAUAUAUAUAUAUAUAUAUAUGGGUAAUAACCUUAAAGUGUAAUUUACAAAGCCCCUCUGUAGAUAUUGGCUACCAUAUGCUAUCACACAAUAGGAAUUCUCCUUUCACUGGAUAUACAUGUGGAAAUUCAUAAAUAUCCAUUGAGUCCAUACAAAAGAUAUGACAAUACAAGAAGAUGGAAUGAACAGGUUUUAAUCCAAAUCACUACAAUCGUUUCUGUGCCUUAGUAUCAGCUGGUAAUUGCUCAGCGAGCAUCCUGUCAGGCAUUUAGUACCUUGCGCUUAGAAAAGUCCCUAAUUCCUAACAAAUACAGAGGUACCCUAUAAAUAACAUGGUACCCUGUGUGUACCCAGGUUCUCCAUGGUGGUAUAUUUCACUAUGACAAGCCACUUAAUACCACCCGGAGUGCUGAGUUCAACGGAACUCUUAGCCAAAGAUGGUUGGGCAGAAACCACUCAGCUGACUCGAUGGACAUACAGGAUAUAAAGAGAUUAUGCAAAGACAAAGUCUUCAGCAGUGUCAUAAUAACUCAUGGGUAGGUGGGGGGAAUUCAUCACACACACACACACAGCAUUUACAUAUACAUACAUACAGAUAUAUACAUAUAUAUAUGUGUGUGUGUGUGUGUGUGUGUGUGUAUCUGUAUGUAUGUAUAUGUAUAUAUAUAUAUAUAUAUAUAUAUAUAUAUAUGUGUGUGUGUGUGUGUAUCUGUAUGUAUGUAUAUGUAUAUAUAUAUAAAUGCAUGCACACAUACAUAUAUGUAUACAAAAAUACAUACAUAUGCACACACUUACACACAUAUAUACACACACAGAUACAAACACACAGAUGAGACAUCAGGUGUGUUUAAGGGGAAAAUGUAUGUUUAUAGCUGUAUAUGGAGAGAGACAGAGAGAGAGAGGGAGAGAGAGAGAGGGAGAGAGAGAGAGAAAUAGAGAGAGAUGUUUAAAAGGUUAUGGGGAUGAUGGUUGUUGUUGUUGGGGGUGGUGGUGAUGGUGGUGGUGAAGAGGGUGGUGGAGAUAUAGGGGUGUGUUGAGCUGGAAAAGUUUCUGUUUGUAUAAGGCAGGAUGGAAUAGGUUUAAAAACAACAACAACAACAGUAAUAAUAAUAAUAAUAAUAAUAAUAAUAAUAAUAAUAAUAAUAAUAAUAAAGGCACAAGCAAUGGUUUUAAGGUGUAUAAAAAUGAAGUAAAUAUAAGAGAGAGGUGUCCAAGUGGACAAGGUACAGGGGUAUCAGUUAGGGUGAGACAGGGGUCCAUAGACUUUCCUCAGCAACCUAAAUACUUAUAUCUCUGUGGCACAGUCCAUCUAGGCUAAACACAUAAGUACAGAUAGGUUUUUUUUUUAUAAACAGUGGUAGCACUGUAAAACUGAAGAGUGUGUUAGGUGUUGUUGUUUAGCCCAAGGUCAGCUCUGAUUGAGACAAUCACGUAUUGAGCACGUUCACACUUUGAUCACCCUGUCAUCGCAUGUGUGCGUGCGUGUGUAUACACACAUAUAUAUAUAUAUAAUUGUCAUCCUUUAUAUACAAGAUGACGAUAAUAUAUACACAACAACUACGUUUGUUUUUAUGUCAGGUUAAAACGAUUUUGCCUUAAAAUGAAGGAUUUUUCCAUACUUUUUAGCAGGGGACAUUUUUAUUGAACUUAUACAAGGAAAAGGUCCAUCAUGAUGAAGGGAGAACUGCGAAGUCACUGUCAACUUUUCCUUGUAAAAGUUUAAUUCGCAAGGAUAUACACAUACAUACACACACACAUAUAUAUAUAUAUAUAUAUACAUAUAUAUACAGACAUAUAUAAGUAUAUAUGGACUCUCCUGUCAGUUUUGACGUAUGAGUGUGUAUAUAUAUAUAUAUAUAUAUAUAUAUAUAUAUAUAUAUAGACAUACAUAUACAUACAUACACACACAUAUAUAUAUACAUACAUACAUAGAUAGACACACACUGAUGGCAUUACAUCAGUCAAUAUGUAUGUCCUUCCUUCGUUUCAUAAAUGAUCAGGUGUGGAAGCUUGAGGGAGAUUUAGUUGCUAUUUCUAGCAGACCAAACAACCACUUAAUUCCUUCCUUCCUUCAGUGCUUUGGGACAUCUUCAUCCUGUACAAGAGAAGGUCCAUCCACUGUCAGCUAUUCCAGAGGAAGUCCUUAGUGAUGCCUCUGUCACAUAAUACAUGCCUCGACCCAUGAAAAACAGCAUCAAGUGGAAUCUGAGAUGCAGUUUCAAUUCUGAGUCAGGAACGUUUUUUUUUCUUACUUAUAUUUCUACAUUACAAAUCUAGUGAACAAGGCAUGAACUCCACACAUUCACAUUUAUCCUCUCUGCUAUUUUCUAUAUGAGACACCAAAUAUAGUGAAAGGAUGUUUAGGACUUGGAGAGUAUCGUUUCAGUAGAGAUGGCUAAUAGUUAACGAUGAGUGUUGAGAGGUAGUUAAUUAAUGCAACACCUGUCUAAUACAGGUGUUUAUUUUACUGAAUCCUACAAUGACAAAAGGCAAAGUCAUGAUUCGCGAUGCUAGAAAUUCUAUCGAGAUCAGAAGGGAGUUAAAUACUGAAAGGUAUUAUAAUUUAAGGGUCUGCUCUUUUUGUUAAGUCCCUAUAAUAAUAAUAAUAAUGAAAAGGCCUGUGGCUUAGUGGUUAGGGCAUUUGUUUCAUGAUGGUAAGGUCAUGUGUUCAAUUCUCAGCAAUGCUUUGUGUCCUUGAGCAAGACACUUACUUCCUUCCCCAAAAUUACUGGCUUUGAGCCCAAAUCCAAAACACCUAUUAUUAUUAUUAUUAUUAUUAUUAUUAUUAUUAUUAUUAUUAUUUUAAUGAGCCUUGAGAGAUGAAAGUAAAGUUGAUGCCCAUAGAAUAUGAAGUGAAACGAGAGAGGGCAAAGUUGAGUCCUGAUGGCAUCUGAACCAACUUGAGAACAUUUCUAUAACAUUCACAGCCAAUCAAUCAAUAAGGUGACUCAAUAAUUUACAAUACAGGUAACAGGUGAGAGAUUUGGAGAAAGGAGUGGGGUGUAGUGCAUUGAUCACCCAGCCCCUGGACCUGACUGGUUUUCUAUUGUAUAGACCCCCCUAGUGGGAUGAACAGUAUAUUUUACCUUAGCAAGAUUUGAACUCAGAACAUAUAGAACCAAACCUUUCUAUUAUAGGCACAAGGCUUGAAACUUUGGGGGGGGGAGGAGGAGCUAGUCAAAUACAUCGACCUCAGUGCAUAACUGGUACUUAAUUUAUCGACCCCGAAAGGAUGAAAGGCAAAGUCGACCUCGGCGGAAUUUGAACUCAGAAUGUAAAGCCAAACGAAAUACUGCAAAGUAUUUCGCCCGGAGCGCUAACGCUUCUGCUAGCUCGAUACAUACAUAUAUAUACAUACACACUUAUAUACAUAGACACGUGUGCAUGUGCACACACACACACACACAUAUAUAGAUGCACACAUACACACGUACCACAUGUUUGUUGUGUCGAGGAAUGUUUAAUAAACAACAUACCAUUGUAAUUAUUUGUUUCAAUGCAGAAAUAUAGGAAACAAAACAACAAAAAAAACAGGUGCAAAAACCAGGGAAAUAAAACAAACAUAUUUGUGAAGAAUUUCUUUUGUAAACAGCACCUUCCCACCCAAAACAUACACCCGCAGUAAAACUAAACACCCUACAUACAUACACACAUACAUAUACAUACAUAUAUAUAUACAUAUACAUACAUAUAUAUAUAUAUAUACAUAUACAUACA
rnacentral:lncRNA from 1 species